GAUGAACGCUAGCGGCAGGCUUAACACAUGCAAGUCGAGGGGUAUUGGUUUUCGGACCAAGAGACCGGCGCACGGGUGCGUAACGCGUAUGCAAUCUACCUUUUGCAGAGGGAUAGCCCCAGAGAAAUUUGGAUUAAUACCUCAUAGUAUAGUACUUUGGCAUCAAGGAACUAUUAAAGUCACAACGGCAAAAGAUGAGCAUGCGUCCUAUUAGCUAGAUGGUAAGGUAACGGCUUACCAUGGCUACGAUAGGUAGGGGUCCUGAGAGGGAGAUCCCCCCACACUGGUACUGAGACACGGACCAGACUCCUACGGGAGGCAGCAGUGAGGAAUAUUGGACAAUGGGCGCAAGCCUGAUCCAGCCAUGCCGCGUGCAGGAAGAAGCAUCUAUGGU
rnacentral:rRNA from 1 species